AGGAGGAGGAGGGGGAGGAGGGGGAGGAGGAGAAAUUUCCCCAAACAUAAAAGAGCAAGAAUGCAUCUGCUCAUUCACUCACUCACUCACUCACUCCACUAAACCUUUGCUGAGUACCCGCUGGGGAGGAAGCCAGCCUAACAGAAAGGAGGUGUGUGGGGAUGGGCACUCCCAGACUGGGGUCCCGGCUGUGCUCCAUGUCAGCGGAGUGAGCAGCCUGGCCACCUGACCUCCCAGAGCCUUGGUGUCUCCAACUGUAAUGUGAAAAUGACACACUUUCAUCGCGGGGUUGCUGUGAGGACCACACAGGACAGCACAUGAGGAGGGCGCCUCGCAGCGCCUGGAGUACAGUCAGUGCUGGAUGGACACCAGUCCCCAGCCUGUCCCUGAAAUGAGAGCCGUGGCAAGGUCACCACCACUCAAGAGCAGGUUAGGGAUUACCUUUCACUGUGGCAGCCAAGUAAACUGGAAUGUAAGCAGACUGACGACAGAUGGGAGCAUUAACGAUAUGUUGUUGCACAGCUUAACGAAAACAGUGCUCCCAGGCUGGCAGUGACACUGGCCAUUAGGCCUGGUGACCACCAUGCACCUGGCCCAGAAAUGGGUUCCCACUUGGCGAGUGAUAAUUCCACCGUCUCCAUUUGACGAUGCCAGUGUAGCAGUGACUCACUUUGCACACAUCUGUGGAUUCCUGUCAGAGCUGGUUAUCUGUCUAAGGAGGGAUGUUAACAUUUAUGGCAGUGAGCAGGGACGUGUGACAGUUCAAGAAAGCAAGGUGCCAGCUACCUUUUGGAGCUGCAGGUGGUUUUUAUGAAAGCAGAAUAUUGCCACUUAUUAUUUAUUUCACUUUUUAUUUUUAAAAUGUGAUUAAUAUAGCUCGCCAAUAAAUUUGGCUGGGCACAAGUAUUUAUGAAGCAUUCUUGGCAGGCUUGGGGUGACACGGCCUAAUUGCUAGGUGGGCAGAGGCAGCCCUGUGAAGUGAGCUGCUCAGCCUGAAUGCGAACCAGCCUCAUUUUAUGGGCUUCCGAGGCAGUGGUUCUCACUGAGCUCUGGGGGAAUAAUCCCAGGAGGCUCCUAGCCGGGGAAGCAAGGUGAGAGAAGGCUGACAGAGCCUGAGAGGCCGUGGAGAGAGCUCCAGGCAGGUAGGCCAGGGUUCAAAGCCCAGCCCCCCAAGGGAGUGGGAUAAGUUGGGCAACCCCUCUAAACCUCUGUUUCCCCACAUGUAAAAGGUUUCAAAGGGUUGC